GUCUUUUUAAGAAAAAUUGUAAAUGCUCUUUCUAUAUUAUAUGUAAACAUUUUGUCAUAUUAUUUGUAAAUUUUCUCCAAACUGUAAUUUGUCUGUUUACCAUAUUUAUAAUACCAUUUCCCAUUCAAAACUUUAGUAUAUAUAUGCAGGUAUAUUAUUUUACAAAAUACGGAUAUUUGUAAAUAUAUAAAAAUUUCAAAGUAUUCUGUAUUGAUUAAGGCCUUCACCCCUGGUGGCAUAUGUACUGUCCUAGCAUGGCUUAUGUGUUUUAUUCUUGGUUUUGUUGUUGGGGUUUUUUUAUAUUCAUCUUUACUCCAUUUGGAAUUUGUUUUUUGUAUAGAAUGCCAGCUGUGGAUCCAACUUUACUUUCUUCCGAGUGGGUUGCCAAAUGUUCCAACACUUCUUAUCACAUUAUCUUUUUCCAAUGAAAUGGAAUGCCAACUUUGUCAUAUAUUAAUUUUUCAUAUAUAAUGAGAUUUCUCAAUAUACUCUGUUGUUUUGCUGAUAGUACUCUCUAUGUAUGGCAGUAGCAUGUGUUUAAUGACAGCGAUUCUAUAUUUGCAUACAGUGACUUCAUAAAAUGCUCAGGCAGAGCUUUGUCUCAUCCCACACUCCUGGGCUACUGUUGUUUUUACUACUUUUCUUGGCUACUACCAGGCAUUUGAAGUUUGUGAUCAUUUUAUCCAUUUAGGGCUUGAAACUGCCUUACAUUUAAAGAUUAAUUUGGGGAAAUUUGACAUAUGAUAUUGUCUUCUAAGAACUAACAAAAUUGUAUUACUUUGUUUGCUUAGAUCUUGUCUAUAUCAUUAGUAAGAUUGAGAUUUGGCACUUUUCUUCACUUAAGUCUUUUGUCUUUUUUUUUUUUUAAACUAAAUGUACUCUUGUUUCUUAGUCUUUGGGUCAUUAUUGAGAAUGGAUUUUUUUCCAUUUCCAUUUCUAAAGGCUUAUUAUAAAUAAAAAGUCUAUUUGUGUGUUUGUGUGCUUACCUUGUAUACCACACAUUUAUUACACAUACUUACAAAAUCUUAUUCCAGAAGUUUUCGCUACAGUCUCUUGGGAUUUUUAGAAAUAUAAUGAUGACAGUCAAAAAUAUAAUGACACUCACACUCACAAAAUCACAAAAAUAACCUGUUUUUUUCCAGUGUUUGAAAGAUUCUUUUCUUCUCUAUAAUCUUUAUUGCCUAGAAACUCCAUUAUAUAGUGUUAAGUGAUAAUGCUGAUAGCAGUCAUCUCUGAGUACUAUUGAUUUUAAUUGAAUUAUUUAGCUGUUUUGGAUAUUUGUGUUGCUAUUUGGUAAAUAGUCUUACUUAAAUAAAUUUUUUUCUGUUUUACCAAGAGAUUUUAUUAGAAAUAGCUGCUGAAUUUUGUCAAAUGCCUUUUCAGCUUCUUUUGAUGUGGCUGUGUGUUUACUUUCCUUCAGUCUGGUGAUUAGCUAGGUUGUUUGUGGAGCUGCUGACAUUAAGCCACUCUUGUCUCCUUGGAAUAAAACCUACUUGGUCAUAACGUGUUAUUCUUUCUUUUAUAAAUCAGUGUUCCAGUCGCUAAUAUUUUAUUUAGAACUUCAACAAGCAUAUUCCUAAGUGAGAUUGGUCUAUAGGUUUCUUUAGUGGACUUUUUAUUAGAUAUAAGAAGUUAUACAGCCUGGCAAAAUGUGGGACUAAUCAGAAGGUUCAGCCACUGCCAGUGAGAAUGCAGAUUUAUUCAAACAUAUUGGGGAAGCAUUUGGAUGUAUCUACUUAAGUGAACAUAUUAAAUCUACUAAUUCUGUUUCUGGGCAAACACCAAGGAAAAUGAUGCAUACAUAUGUACACCAAAAGAUAUGUUCUAGAAUACUUAGAGCAACAGUAUUAGUAAUAGCUUCAAACCAGAAACUAUCUAAAAGUCCAUCUACUAGGGAAUGGAUAAAUACAUUUUGGUAUUCAUACAAUGGAAUAUUAUACAGCAAUAAGAACGAACAGUUCAUAGGUACAUGCAACAUAUAGGUGAAUCUCAGAAACAUUACAUUGAGCCUAAAAAGGCAGCUACAAAAGGAUACUGUAUGCUUUCCAUUAUAUAAAGUACUAAAAUGGGCAAAACUGAUUCGUGUUAACUGUUAGAAGUCAGGAGAGUGGUUAUCUUCAGUGAGAGGGAGGUAGGGGAGGAGAUGGUAUUGAAAGGGAGUGUGAGGGGGACUUCUGCAGUGCUGGUAAUAUUUUGUUUCUUUAUCUGGGUGCUUGUUUAUGUUGGGUUGUUUAGUUCAUGAAAAUUCAUCUAAUUUACACUUAUAUGUACACUCUUCUGUAUGUACAUUAUAUUUGAAUAAAACUUUUAGAAAGCAGUACAUGUUUCAUAGAAUGAAUUGGGGAGCUUCUCAUCUUUUCCUACACUUUAGAAUUGUUUAAAUAAGAGAUCAUUAAAAUUAUAUGUUAAAGAUUAGAUGAAAUUUGGAUGAAAUUCGGGACCUUUUGGUCCCAAGGUCUCCUUUUUUAGAGGUAGGAUUUUUAAUUACUUUCCUAGUAUCUUUGGUUCAAAAUAUUCACUUCUUGGAUUAAUUCUGAUAAUUUUUAUUUUGUAGGAAAUAUUUCAUUUCUUCUAGGUUUUCACAUUUAUUUCUAAGUGUCUCUUGUAAUUUCUUCUGUGUGUGGUAUUAUGCUUUUUAUUCUUAUUAUUGAAGAAUUACCUGUGUGUGUUUCUUAAUUUUCAAGGAGUUCAGGCAAAGAAAUACUCACCUUUUACAUUCAGUUCCUCAUGGCAAAUUGAAGGAUGAGGAAGAGAAAAUGAAGAUGGAUCAAGAAUGUGCUCAGAAUCUCAUCUGAAGAUUUCUGCAUCAGUAACUGAGGAGCAAAGGAAAUCUACCCAGUGGCCCUCCAGCAGAUUUCUCCAUGUAUCUAACUGGCCACAACAUUGCCUCCCUACAUUUAAUGGAUGUUGAGAAAGAUGUUAGGAGACAAUCACACAGAGGGAACACUGUGGAAGCAAACAGAAUCAUCUGAAUUCGGAUUGCAUACCUGCAUUAGAAAGCCCUCCUCGCUGGGUGAUUUUCUCUAUGGCGGCCUUCAGAUCCCGGGAAUUCACCGAUAUCAGUGAUUUCCUUUGCAACUAAGAGAAGAAAGCAAAUGAAGUUCUAUAGCUCAAGGAGAAAAGAACCAAUUGUACUGUUUGAUGCAACAGGAAAAGAUUCCCCUGUGAGCGUUAAGAAGCAAGAAGAAUGCCUGUCAGAAUGGUCCCCUGUGAUCCCGAGGAAGGCUCGGCACCUGGAGAACAGGGCAGGGGGACGGAUGUCAUUGUGUCCAGGCCUCCCUGAAGGUAAAAUUCACCUGAGGCACCUGUUCAAGUCCUGAGACACCAGAUCUCAUCCUGGCAGCCGUUCUCAUCAGUAGGUCUGUACUGGAGGUGGGCAUCUUUGUUUGUUUUAAACAAGGGAUCCAGGUGAAUCCUAUCCUUAGCAAAGUUGGGGAAGCUCUGGAGUCUGGAAGACUUCUACGGCCCCUUCAGUUAAAGCCCCAGGGGCUCCUGCGUUAGCCCAGGUACUUGGAGCCACACUGUGUGAGCCUCUCACACAAGUUCUCCGCCAACAGAGACUUACUGAUGGCUCAGCUCUCCUGUAGUGCCAGCUUUUCAAAAUGGUUUCCUCCCACAAGGCAUCACCUGAGGUUACAAUAAAAUCACCUGGCUAUACUGAAUCUUCUCAUUUUCUUAAAUGCUAAAAUGUGAUGAUUUAGGGGCUUAGUCCCUGAGAUGAACCAUGCCUGUGGAAUCAGGAGCAUGCUCUAGGGUGACCUUGGCUACCCAAGGUCAUGCCAGGAGCUGCAGGCGGGGUGGCAGACACUUCCUUCAGUGCACUGCCUGGCUCAGAAUGAAAUGAGUUUGCCGCCAGCCCCUCAGAGGACCGAGUAUCUCCAUCCACCCCCGCGGCCCGGGCCAACCUGCCGGAGACUUGGUACAACUAGCCCCUUUGGAAAGGACACUGGUCCUACAUUUCCUAGGACCCGAGGUGGGAAGCAGGGUCUUAUAAUCAAAUUUUGUUUCUAGAUGAAUUUUUUUUUUGUAAUUAAUAAUAAGAAUUCAAUGCACCCGCCAAAAAGUAGAAAAUUAACCUGUAUAAUUUCCUGCGGGGGGGUGGGGGAAUGCGGACCUGCUGUGUGGUGAUCUGAGAGAGACCCUGGAACACACAGACUUGUCUGUACCCGCGUCACAGGGCUCAGAAGCCCCGCACCACGGGAUGUCUGCAACAGACACCGCGGCUGGCAUUUCCUGACCCCGGGCCUGGGCCCGACCACCCGGGGAUAGAUUGAAAAUGUAGGUUCUGAUUCUAUAGUCAGAGUGAGGUCUGAGGGUCUGCCUUUCUAAGAACCUCCCAGUUGAAACCGUGGAUCACACGUGGAGUAGCAAUGCCUUGGGGCGAUGCUGGAAGAAUCAAGAAAAUCAGCAGGGGGCUGCCAGCGAUAAGAGGAGGAGGAGAACCAGUGAGAAGUCUGGACAAGGCAUGAGAAAGGCUGAGAAAAGGAGGAGGAGGAGGAGGAGCCGGGAGAGGAGUCACCGGAUGACAGUGCAGGCCCGUGGGAAUCGCUGUGCCCACCCGCCCCGCCUGCGCGAUGGGAUCGCCUGGGAGCUCCAAAACUUAACGAUGCCUGCGUCCCAUGCUCAGAAAUUCUGAUUUAAUCGAUCUGAGGUUUGGUCUGGGAAUUGGGACUUUCAAAAGUCCCUCAAGUGGUUCUAAUGUGCACCGAAGUGGCCAUCUGCUUUUCUAGCAGAAUGAUCUAGGGACCGAGGGGUGUAGAGAGAAUGAUCUCAGGGGAGCCCUGCGAUAAGCCCAGGCAGCGGGAGGCGGAGGCGGAAGGGGAGCUGGUGAGUGGAAGCCUAGCGCAGUCCUUGUUUUAUUUGUACCUCUGGGAGGACUCAGUGGGGAGGAAGAGAAAAAGCACAGGAGUUUUGGGUAAAUGUUAUUCAUGGCUCACUCAGCCUUGAGACUGUGUGCCUGAGGAGUGUGGCUCAAGGGCUCACCUGCCCGUCUCUUUGAGCAGAGGGUAGAGGCACCACUGUCUGUGCCAUUGGGCCCCAGAGAGCUGAUGACAGGCAGCUGUUCUGAGAUCCUGUUAGUUUCUGGAAAGGCAGUGGGGGACACAAGAAGAAGACCGGGGCAGACAUUGGAGGGAUCUGGGCUCUGGGAACCAACUUGUAGGAAGCUGAGCUCUCUCUUAACCUCUUGGCAACAGAAGCGAAUUACACACUAAAAUAUCAGCUCCUGGGUAUUUACCAGAUACUGGUUUCAUAAGUCUGGAAUGGGAGCUGGGCAUCAACAUUUUAAAAGCUCCCUAGGUAAUGCCAGUGUGAAGUCAGGACCUUAUUGCUCUGAGCCCCAUGGAGCUGUGUCUCAGGCUCCAGUCCUGCCCGCACCUCCUUUGCUGCAGUCUUAAGAGAAUGUGCCAGAAUGUAUAGUUUCCUCUUUCUGCGGUAAGAUAUGACCAUAAACCUAGUGGCUUAAACACUCAUUAGCCUUACAGUUCCAGAGGUCAUGUCAUGUCUGUCGUAGGUCUCUCUGGAAGGGCUGUGUCCCUCCUGGAGGCUCUGGGGUAGGGGUAGGGGUGGGUCCAUUUCCUCGUCUUUUCUGUCUUCUAGAGGCUGCUUGCAUUCCUUGCUCAUGGCUCCCUUCCUCCGUCUUCAAAGCCAGCGGUUGACUAUCCCUGACCAUUCUCCAGUCCGAUAUUUCUCCGACUGAGAGCAGGGAAAGUUUCUCUGCUUUUAAGGCCUUGUGGGAUUAGAUUGGGACCCUGGAUAAUCCAUCUCAAGGUCCUUAACUUUAAUCACUAGAUGUGCACAGAGUCCCUUUUGCCAUGUAAGGCAACGCAUUCACAGGUUUCAGGGAUUCAGAGGUGGGUAAGUUUGGGAGCCGCUCUUCUGCCUACAUGCCUGUCCUGACACUUGUUCUUUCCUCCACUCUGACUGUCCCCCACACGGGGGCUCAGCCGAUCCCCGGGAGGACUCUGGGCAUCCUUCCUUCUGGGAGGGAGAGCUGCUGAGUGUCUGACUGCAGCUUCUCAGUCCAGAGCCAAGAGGUCAGUGGAGGAAGGCUGUGCGGCCCACCCCUGAGCCACUUUCCAAAGCACUGGGCAGCUGUGACAGAACCAUGAGCAAAGAAAGUCAAUUUCAUUUUGAAAUGAAGAAAAAACAACAUUUUGCUUUGCUCUAUAACGGUUUUCCAACUCUUGAUAUUCUAGGGUUGAUUACAGACUUCAAAAGAAUGUGUGCAAUUCUAUUCUAUUUAUCCUGACACUGGAGACUAAAACAAAAUCAUCUGGAAGGUCAGGGGCACUUAGCAGCCAUGGCCCCUGGCGGCCGUGAAACUGCAAGCAGCUUGGCUUCAUUCAUUCUGCGGGCUAGAGUUCACCUAAGAGCUACUUGUUCCGCUUGUCCUUUCACUCAGCCUUUCUGUGUUCCCCUUGGUAUUAAGUGCGAUCACGAGCCUGUUGACUGUGUACUUCACUAUUAGAGCUCCUGCGCCAGAUGGGGGCGCAGUCCUUGGCUUUUUGUCUAAGGACAGCGUUUUGGUCCUCACCAUGGUGGAAAGCCUCAAUUAUCAGAAGCUUUUUGGGCAGAUGAGCCAAGUCUUCUCUUUGAAGUCAAUUCUGUUUGCCAUUUUAGGAAUUAACCCAAGAUUUAAUAUUUGCCCUCUCCCCAGGUCAUGCAUUUGGCUCUGUGUUCUUGGGAAAGUCACCCAACCUCUCUGAGGGCAGCACUGGCCUCUCCUUGAAGGUCUCAUUCUUGAUGGGCCGGUCAUUUCUUUUAGAGCCUCACUUCCUCUCUAUAACAUGAGGGGGUAGAAGCAGGAGCUUUCUAUGGCCCCAAGGCUCUGUGAUUCUGAGAGAGCAGGGCUGAUCCCCGUGAUGGUAAGGUGGGCCUUGAAAUCUGGUGAGAACCCAAAACACCAGAAGCAUCAGAUUCCCAACCGGCCAUCGGCUCUUCCUGCUUUUCCUUUUCCAGAAUCACAGGCCCUCCAUCUGCCUCCCCUCCCCCUUCCUCCCCCUUCCUGCCCCUUCCCUUCCCGCCAUGCACUAAGACCUUUUGGUAAAGAAAGGACUGGAGGGAGCCCUUCAGGGAGGAAGCCGGGCGGCUGAAAUCAAAAGCACUUCCCGCGGGGCAUGCAGAUUUCCCCUUGUGCCUCAUCACACCCUUCUUAUGCCGCCCUCCGAUUUAUUGUGCUCCCCACAUUCCACUGAAGGACGCACCACCUCCAAGCAAAACCUCAUGGGUCACCCCCCAACAGGAACCAAGGCCGGAAGGAAGGGAGAAGCGGCUCACGUAGCCCCAUCAGCCCAGCAUUCAUUCAGCGGGUGUCUCCCGAGUACAGAGCCAGUCACUGAAUCAGAGGUCGUCAGGCUGGGAGAGCACUAACAGGUCAUCCCGGCCACCCCCAGCAUUGUACGGAGGGCAGCGCCCCCAUGGAGAGGUGAAAGCUCCUGCUUCGGGUCACCCCGCAGCGCUCGGGCCAGAAUUCAAGCUACGCCGCCACCAGCUCCUCGUGCUUUCCACAGCACCCUGUGGCUUAAGGAAGGUGCCGAUGAUAGAGUAGCUUCUAUGAGCAUGAAUUGAAGGAGAACAGACACCAUUUCUCUGAAGCGCUCCAAAUUAACAGGACCCAGGAUGCAGAAAAGACGAAGAGCAAGGCCUUUUUAGAAAGUGAAAUUGGAAAAGCGUGGAGGUAACUCUCUCCUGCAAAUGGUGAUCGCAUUAGGAAAAUGUAGGGGAAAUGCUCUUCUGGGCAGGGGAGGAGACUUUCCUGAAUUGGUUUUCCUUCCUUGCAACAUUGGCUCAUUCAUCCGCCUUCUCACUGGCACACACACUAUUCUCCUGCCGUUUUUCUUUUCCUUGACAAAUUUAUUACCUUAUUUUCAUAUUACACUAUAAACUUUGGUAUACACAGCUUUAAAAGCAGCUAUUUUUAAUGCAAGAUGACACACCAAGCUUUGAACCCCCCAAUAAAAUUGACCGGGGACAUCUGGUACUAAAAUGCUUACAUUUCCUCCCCAGAGAAGCCUACUCUCUGUUUGCUAUCUUUAAAAAGUAAUGUAGGAAUGAAAAUAGGCUGACAUUUUGAAAACAAGAAAAAAAAACUUAUUUUUCUACUUCAAGUUGAAGUCUCCAAGACAGAGCCUUUGACAUCGAAAGUUGACAUUUGUAGCAAUUAGUUAUUUUCGUCUCUUUGACUCUGACUAUAUACAAGUGCUGGGUAACUCAUCCACUAAUUUUUCUUCACAGGAACAGGAGGUAGUACUACAUGUGUUAUUGGGACUUAAUGUUAAAAGUACAAAUGUUAUACGUUCUUAUGAAAAUAAAGGGUUUUUGAUUAUUUCUUUUGACAGUUCAAAGAUCAGCGCUCUAGGUAGGGCCUUUGAUAGAACGGCCUUGGUUAAAAUACUGCCCCUGGAGAUCCUUGGAAAUUUUUUGAAGGAUCUGAUGGCACUCUGAUUGUUGUCAGGUAUACAUGAUUUUACUUUUUGGGAAUGCGGGAGGCAAAUAAGCUGGGGCUGCGGCUUCUCGGCAAGAAGCACUAAAGGGCUAUGUUAGUUUCCCUUGCUAAGGUUAAGGUGAAGAAGUGUGGGGGAGGAGGGGUCGUAUUGCGCUCGAGGGUCCUUUGUGGAAAGUGAGACCAUUAUCCUGUCCUUAAUGGUUUCUGGUCAAAAGUCCACCUAUCAUUUGAUAGAUUUGAGAUCUGUGCUUGUUUUCUCUUUCGAUGGUUUGCUUAUCAUCUGUCAACAUCUGUAUAACUGCUUUAGGGAGAAACCUAUUAUUAUGAAACAAGAUUGACCCCCAAUAUGAGAAAAGGUUGAGCCUGGGUGUCAGUAUGAAUGUCCAAUUCCUACUCUAACUAGAAUAAUAGGAUGGACUGGGGACAGUCACCUGGUGAUCAGCUGAGUGAUAGAGGCCACCCCUUCCCCCGGCCCAGUCUUCCCCAUUGCCUGGUGACCUUUUCCAGGACCAGCACAGAGGCCUAAGGUCAUAUGGAGAAAAGAGAAAGGUCAACCUACAGCACUGUAUUUUCUAGGCAUCUUAUCUGUAGGUGGACAGAGCACAGGGUGCAGUCCACUUCUUGACCUACAGAAAAGGAAACUGAGAUCAGAGAGGUGAAGCCCUCUCUCAAGGCCACAUAGCUUGUUACUGGUUGAGCUAAGACUUGAAUCCAGCUCUCCUCAUACCCAAAUAAAUAUUCUCUGUACCAAUCAUGAGUGCAAAUGCCAUUUACUCCCAAGUGUUCAUUAAGCUGUCCUUCCUUUCUGGAAGAGUCAGUUUUCUUCC